rfam:Puccinia graminis f. sp. tritici CRL 75-36-700-3 supercont2.72 genomic scaffold, whole genome shotgun sequence.
GGACAUAUGGCCGAGUGGUCUAAGGCGCUAGCUUCAGGUUCUCAUCUUGACUCGCUAGUCUUCGGGCGUGGGUUCGAAUCCCACUGUGUUCA